rnacentral:rRNA from 1 species
UGAGCAACCUGCCCUUGACUCUGGAAUAACAGCUGGAAACAGCUGCUAAUACCGGAUACGACCUCCGAUGGCAUCAUCUGGAGGUGGAAAGCUCCGACGGUCAAGGAUGGGCUCGCGGCCUAUCAGCUUGUUGGUGAGGUAACGGCUCACCAAGGCUUCGACGGGUAGCCGGCCUGAGAGGGCGACCGGCCACACGUGGGACUGAGACACGGCCCAGACCUNUACGGGA